rnacentral:rRNA from 1 species
UCGGACGGGUCAGUAACGCGUGAGAAUCUACCUUCAGGUCGGGGAUAACCCCUGGAAACGGGGGCUAAUACCGGAUAGGUCGAAAGAUGAAAGGUUAACUGCCUGAAGAGGGGCUCGCGUCUGAUUAGCUAGUAGGUGUGGUAAGAGCGCACCUAGGCGACGAUCAGUAGCUGGUCUGAGAGGAUGAGCAGCCACACUGGGACUGAGACACGGCCCAGACUCCUACGGGAGGCAGCAGUGGGGAAUUUUCCGCAAUGGGCGAAAGCCUGACGGAGCAAGACCGCGUGGGGGAGGAAGGCCUUUGGGUUGUAAACCCCUUUUGUUAGGGAAGAAAAAAAUGACGGUACCUAACGAAUCAGCCUCGGCUAACUCCGUGCCAGCAGCCGCGGUAAUACGGAGGAGGCAAGCGUUAUCCGGAAUUAUUGGGCGUAAAGCGUCCGUAGGUGGCCCGGCAAGUCUGCUGUCAAAGACCACAGCUCAACUGUGGAAAGGCAGUGGAAACUGCAAGGCUAGAGUGCGGUAGGGGUAGAGGGAAUUCCCAGUGUAGCGGUGAAAUGCGUAGAGAUUGGGAAGAACACCGGUGGCGAAAGCGCUCUACU